UUUGAUAAUGACAUUGUCUGCCUAUGUGUCUUGACCAAAUUACGUGCCNGCNGUCGCGGUAAUACGUAGAAGACUAGUGUUAUUCAUGUUUAAUCGGUUUAAAGGGUACCNAGACGGNAAAUCNAGCCUAAAAUUAAAUGAAGGGACUAAUUUACUAGAGUUACUUNUGAGGGGGUAUUAAAGUACUGCUGGNGUAGAGAUGAAAUUCUGUCAUACCUCUUUUCAAUAGAAAAAUAAUGGCACAGGUAUAGGCGAAAGCAUCCCCUUAUGUGAUAACUGACGUUGAGGGACGAAGGCUUUGUGUAGCGAACAGGAUUAGAUACCCCCGUAGUCAAAGCAGAAAAUGAUGAAUGUCAUAGAUUAGAUAAAUAAGUUUAUUCUAUAAAUGAAAGUGUAAGCAUUCCACCUCAAGAGUAAUUUGGCAACAUUGGAACUGAAAUCAUUAGACCGUUUYUGAAACCCGUAGUGAAGUAUGUUGUUUAAUUUGAUGAUCCGCAAAAAACCUUACCCCAAUUUGAAUAUUUAUAUCUAUUAUUGUUUUUUUUUUAUUUUCUUCUGAUUUGAUUUUUCUAAAGAAAAAAGAAAAAAGAAAAAGAGGCGAUAUGAUAUAUUUACAAGCGUUGCACGGCUGUCUUCAGUUAAUGUCGCGAGACUUUGGUUAGUUCCAUUAAAUUAAUCGUAAACCCUUACUUUAUUUUUAUAUAGAGUAGUUCCCCGCUAUAUUGGAUAUGAU
rnacentral:rRNA from 1 species